AUAACCGCCUCUCUCUCUCUCUCACUUUCUCUUACUCGCUCUCCCCCACUGUCUCUCUCUUUCUUUCUCUCUCAUCCCUGCCCCCUUCCCCUCUCGCCUCCCUCAACGGCGGCAGAUCUGGCAGAGGCGAUGGCGUCAGCGACUCCUGCGGGCCGGAUCCGAUGGUCCUAUACCCCCUCCCCCUCCCCCUCCGCCCCUAACCUUCUUCCGUGGCAGAACUGGUGGCAGCGGUGGUGUCGGUGGCUCCCGCGGGCAGAUCCAAUGGAGGCGAUGGCAGUGGUGUUUCUGACAAGCGGGUCCAGCGGUCCUCUACCCCCUCUCCGCCCCCCCCCUACCCCCAAGCUUCUCCCUCGGUGGCGGCAGUGGCAUCGAGGCUCCCACGGGCGCAUCAGGCAUAGGCGACAGUGGUGGCAUUUCCAACAGGCGGAUCUAGCGGCCCUCCACCCCCUCCCCUUCCUCCGCCCCCAAGAUUCUCCUGUGAUGGCGGCGGUGGCAUCGAUGCUCCUGCGGGCGGAUCCGAUGGAUGUGGCAGCCGGCGGUGGCAUUUCUGACGAGCGGUUCCGAGAAGAGAGGAUUGAUUUGGAUCUAUUCUUAUCGGCGCCGUUGUCGUGAUGCCCUCUUCUCCAGCGGAUGGCGGAACCCUUGGGCUUGGCUUCGUUAUCAAGAGGGUGGAGCGUGCGGCUUAUUUGUGGAGGUUGAGGUUGUGGAACAAUCUCGUCCAUUUUUGCUACAUCAUCGUCGUUGGUGUUUGAUGCCUUUCCAUCCGCCACUGCCAGUGUGUGCGCACUUUUUUCAGAGAUCGGUGACUGCAACAUCUCUGAUAUAUGGCAAAUUUUGUUACAGGACACUUCGACUUCAUGCUUUUAGCCGUAGGAUACUGGCCGAACUCACUUUUAGGGGAAAAUACUCUAUAAACAUGGUAAUUUGCCAAUGGACACCACGCCGAUUAGAAUAAUAAUUUCAGGUUGAGGAGGAGAGA